rnacentral:rRNA from 1 species
GUAGGGAAUAUUGGGCAAUGGAGGCAACUCUGACCCAGCCAUGCCGCGUGCAGGAUGACGGCCCUCUGGGUUGUAAACUGCUUUUAUACGGGAAGAAAAAAUACUACGUGUAGUAUACUGACGGUACCGUAAGAAUAAGGAUCGGCUAACUCCGUGCCAGCAGCCGCGGUAAUACGGAGGAUCCAAGCGUUGUCCGGAUUUAUUGGGUUUAAAGGGUGCGUAGGCGGAUCUUUAAGUCAGUGGUGAAAGCCUGCAGCUUAACUGUAGAAUUGACAUUGAAACUGAAGAUCUUGAAUGUGGUUAAAGUAGGCGGAAUGUAUCAUGUAGCGGUGAAAUGCUUAGAUAUGAUACAGAACACCGAUAGCGAAGGCAGCUUGCUGAACCAUUAUUGACGCUGAGGCACGAAAGCGUGGGGAGCGAACAGGAUUAGAUACCCCUGUAGUCC